rnacentral:rRNA from 1 species
CCACGGACUCAGCGCAUCAUUGGAUCGAGUGCCAAGAAAAGCCCCAGCGUAUGCUAAGCGACCCGUACCGCAAACCGACACAGGUGGGUGGGUAGAAUAUACCAAGGCGUAAGAGUGAAACCUGGUUAAGGAACUCGGCAAAUUAGCCCCGUAACUUCGGAAGAAGGGGUGCCUGCAGCGAUGCAGGCCGCAGAGAAAUGGCCCAACCGACUGUUUAUCAAAAACACAGCACUCUGCAAAGACGCAAGUCGAAGUAUAGGGUGUGACACGUGACCAAUGCCGAAAGAUUAAGGCAAGGGGUUAGCCGCAAGGCGAAGCUCUAAACCCAAGUCCCGGUGAAUGUCGGCCGUAACUAUAACGGUCCUAAGGUAGCGAAAUUCCUUGUCGGGUAAGUUCCGACCUGCACGAAUCGUGAAACGAGUUGGGCACUGUCUCAACCAGGCGCUCAGUGAAAUUGUAGUGGCGGUGAAGAUGCCGCCUACCCGCAGAAGGACGGAAAGACCCUAUAGACCUUAACUGUAAGCUGUCAUUGUUUCUUCGGUUUUAAUGCUCAGAGUAAGUGGGAGACGCUGAAGACGCCCUUUAGGGGGCGUCCGAGUCAUCAAUGAGACACCACCCUUUGAAACUGGAGGAUCUAACCCUGAGCCGUGAAUCCGGCCAGAGGACCGUGUCAGCCGGUCAGUUUUACUGGGGCGGUAUCCUCCCAAAGAGUAACGGAGGAGCGCGAAGGUGGGCUCAGCCCGGUUGGCAACCGGGUGUCGAGUGCAUGGGCAUAAGCCCGCCUAACUGUGAGACCAACAAGUCGAGCAGAUGCGAAAGCAGGCCCAAGUGAUCCGGCGGUAGAAAGUGGAAUUGCCGUCGCUCAACGGAUAAAAGGUACCUUAGGGAUAACAGGCUGAUCACGCCCAAGAGUUCAUAUCGACGGCGUGGUUUGGCACCUCGAUGUCGGCUCGUCGCAUCCUGGGGCUGGAGAAGGUCCCAAGGGUCCGGCUGUUCGCCGGUUAAAGCGGCACGCGAGCUGGGUUCAGAACGUCGCGAGACAGUUCGGUCCUCUAUCCUCUGUGGGCGUUGGAAAAUUGAGGGGUUCAGACCUUAGUACGAGAGGACCGGGUCUGACGCACCACUGGUGCAUCGGUUGUACUGUCAAGUGCAUGGCCGAGUAGCUAAGUGCGGACGGGAUAAGCGCUGAAAGCAUCUAAGCGCCAAGCCCUUCCCAAGAUGAGUUUUCCCUACAGGUUCGUGGAAGACCACCACGUUGAUAGGUCGCAGGUGUAAGUGCAGCAAUGUAUUGAGCCGAGCGAUACUAAUUACCAAUUGACUUCAUCAU